rnacentral:rRNA from 1 species
CAAUAGCGCAUAUUAAAGUUGUUGCGGUUAAAAAGCUCGUAGUUGGAUUUCUGCUGAGAACGACCGGUCCGCCCUUUGGGUGUGUAUCUGGCUCUUUCUUGGCAUCUUCUUGGUGAACGUUGCUGCACUUGACUGUGUGGAGCGCUACCCAGGACUUUUACUUUGAGGAAAUUAGAGUGUUUCAAGCAGGCAUACGCCUUGAAUACAUUAGCAUGGAAUAAUAAGAUAGGACCUCGGUUCUAUUUUGUUGGUUUCUAGAGCUGAGGUAAUGAUUAAUAGGGAUAGUUGGGGGCAUUCGUAUUUAACUGUCAGAGGUGAAAUUCUUGGAUUUGUUGAAGACGGACUACUGCGAAAGCAUUUGCCAAGGAUGUUUUCAUUGA